GACGAACGCUGGCGGCGUGCUUAACACAUGCAAGUCGAACGGAAAGGCCCUGCUUUUGUGGGGUGCUCGAGUGGCGAACGGGUGAGUAACACGUGAGUAACCUGCCCUUGACUGUGGGAUAACUUCAGGAAACUGGGGCUAAUACCGGAUAGGAGCUCCUGCUGCAUGGGGGGGGUUGGAAAGUUUCGGCGGUUGGGGAUGGACUCGCGGCUUAUCAGCUUGUUGGUGGGGUAGUGGCUGACCAAGGCUUUGACGGGUAGCCGGCCUGAGAGGGUGACCGGCCACAUUGGGCCUGCGAUACGGCCCAGUCUCCUACGGGCCGCAGCAGUGGGGAAUCUUGCACAGUGGGCGGACGCCUGAUGCAGCAACGCCGCGUGCGGGAUGACGUCCUUCGGGUUGUAAACCGCUUUCGCCUGUGCCGAAGCGUGCGUGACGGUAAUGAGUAAGGAAGCCCCGGCUAACUACGUG
rnacentral:rRNA from 1 species